UACGUAGGGUGCGAGCGUUGUCCGGAAUUAUUGGGCGUAAAGAGCUCGUAGGCGGUCUGUCGCGUCGGUCGUGAAAACUUGGGGCUUAACCCUGAGCUUGCGGUCGAUACGGGCAUGACUGGAGUUCAGCAGGGGAGACUGGAAUUCCUGGUGUAGCGGUGAAAUGCGCAGAUAUCAGGAGGAACACCGGUGGCGAAGGCGGGUCUCUGGGCCGAUACUGACGCUGAGGAGCGAAAGCGUGGGGAGCGAACAGG
rnacentral:rRNA from 1 species